rnacentral:rRNA from 1 species
AUUGAACGCCGGCGGCAGGCCUAACACAUGCAAGUCGAGCGGAUGAAGGGAGCUUGCUCCUGGAUUCAGCGGCGGACGGGUGAGUAAUGCCUAGGAAUCUGCCUGGUAGUGGGGGAUAACGUCCGGAAACGGGCGCUAAUACCGCAUACGUCCUGAGGGAGAAAGUGGGGGAGAUCUUCGGACCUCACGCUAUCAGAUGAGCCUAGGUCGGAUUAGCUAGUUGGUGGGGUAAAGGCCUACCAAGGCGACGAUCCGUAACUGGUCUGAGAGGAUGAUCAGUCACACUGGAACUGAGACACGGUCCAGACUCCUACGGGAGGCAGCAGUGGGGAAUAUUGGACAAUGGGCGAAAGCCUGAUCCAGCCAUGCCGCGUGUGUGAAGAAGGUCUUCGGAUUGUAAAGCACUUUAAGUUGGGAGGAAGGGCAGUAAGUUAAUACCUUGCUGUUUUGACGUUACCAACAGAAUAAGCACCGGCUAACUUCGUG